UCUUCUGCAUUCCUCACAUUCUUUUGUGAAUAAUAUGAACUUUGAUUAGUUUUCAAGCAUAAAUUGAUGCCAACUUACCAAAUUGACCUCAGUGUCACUGCUAGGUAUCAAAAUGAUUACAUUUAUGUUUAGAAAACAUAUUUGUGUUUGUGAAAUGCUUAUGAUUGAUACUAUGUUUUUACUUGUUAAAUGUUUAUAUGAUGGAAAAUGCAGUCAUAGUUCAUAUAAUUUUUUUCUUUGUUAACAUGAAAAAUACUUGCAUCUUGUUUAAAUAGAUAAUAUGUUUAUAGCUCGAUUUCUAUGUAUCUUGUGCAGAUGCUUAUGACAUGUGUGGCCUAUUUCCUAGUGACAGUACAAACAUGUUAGCAGAGUUUUGUGUAGUCAACAAAAACCACCGUUUCCUGUUAUGUACAAACUCUUCUCUUUUUUGAUUGGUGUAUCUGUUCGUUUUAUCCUCUGCUGAUAAUACUUAGUAGCAUUUACUUGCAUCUUGAAGUGGGAAAGCCAAUGCUACUGCGGUUUUAGUACUUCUUCUAUAUCAGCAUAUGGCUAACUCUGUUUGCUUCUAUAUCUUGUGCUUAUAUAUUAUAUCUGUUUUGGUGUGUGUAUGUGCCCACAUGCCUUUCUUGUUGCAUGCCCUCAGGGAAUCCUUUCUUGUUGCAUACCCCGACGGAGAGGAGACAGUGAUGAUGAGGCUCAAAAAGAUGAUGAUGAUAGAUGAUGAGGCCUUGAGGGUGUAUUGGAAACCUGUUGUUCUUUCUAUUCAGUUCAAGUAAUUGAGUUACAAAUAUAGUAUAUUUUUCAAAGUAGAUGUUCUAACAUAAAUAUAAAAUCUCAACCUGCUUACACUAUGUUUUUAAACUAAGCAUUGCGUGUUCAUCUGCUGAAGCAAUGUAUUUUACUUUUUAUUGAGUUGAAGUCAGCCAUUUCAUAUUAAGCAAACAGUGAUAGGAUCAGUUCCUUACCUGGUGCAACACUAUAUGUACCUACUCUGGGUCAUCUUUAUCUGUCGUACAUUUGAGGUAUAUUUGCCAAUCAAUUCCCAUUUUUAAUAUCUACUUAUUUCUAUACCACAGCUCUACCUUUAUGGUUUAUAUUCUUGAUCUUCUCAUCCCUCAUAUUCACCUCUUCCUAAAUGAUUUGGCACUCCUUAAUUAAUGUAUGUAAUUUAUUGUUUGGUUUAGUAUUCCUUGCCUUUUGCUUAGAACAUUUUCAUCUAUGUACAAAAGCUAGCAUCUGAUGUCAACUCAAAUCUAUAUUAUCUUAUAGGUUAAUGGUUGGUUAUAAUGUUUAGCUAGAUUCUUGGUGGAGCUAGCGGAGAGAGCGGGGAGGGAGGGCAAAAGCAGGGCACUUGGAUGUUGGAUGUUGUAGUCGCAGAAUAGGUGGGCCUUCAGAGCCUAUGAAACAGGGGAGAGAUUUGUAGGAGUAGCUCCGAAACUGCCUAGAUGCAGCAUCAAUUUGGUUUCAGGCUUUUAGCCUGUUGGGACCAUCCCCCUCCCCCUCUCCCUGUCUCUCGCCUGUUCCUCUCACCUCCAGGCUCCACGGACUUGGCCCCAGCCUGACUCAGGAGUGCUGGUGAUCACGCCCUCUCUCUCUUUCCACCGCCUCCCCUGCCACGCUCGAUGGCUAUGGCGCAGUAACUAGGACGCGUCCUACAGCCCGUUGAUCGAAAAAAAUGAGUUCAACACCGCAAUAACCUCAAUCGCGGGCUACCUCCCAUCUUACAAGAUCUACAAUUCAAUCUGCAUAAUGCGACGUGUUUCCAUAUGCCUCUCAUUCUCACAACGGGUUGCACCAUUCCAACCCAUUGUAAUUGUGUCUGCUCUCUUGCUUUCUCUCCCCGAAGCCCCGACACGGUUCAUGUUAAUUUGGUUGCUACUACCGCCGUGCUAAGAUACUAGUUAAGGGGGUUACAAGAAGAAGACUACAUAUAUAGGCAGUGCGUCCUUUAUAAGGGCGUGUGAUGCUUAGGCGGGGGAAGGUUGGUGAGCAAAUUAGUUAUCAUCCUUUAAUUGUUACCUAGUCCUGAAAUCUGUGACUAUAACGUACCUGAGCUUUAAAUACCUUUUCUCCAUGGAGGCUUGGCCACUUAUGUGUGUGCUCUGCUCCAUUAUCACCAUCUCACCCUAGCCUCAACCCCAACACUGACUUGCCAAGCUGGUGGGAGAUGCUGCUUUCGGAGCUUGUACUGAAGAACAAAGUCAUUAUCAGCAUUAUAGCCUCACACACCAUCUCAUACCACCCAGAAGGCUGUCCAGCACAUCAGUGGCAUUAUUAUCCGUUAAAUUUGUCACCAAGUCCAGCACCCAUGCAAAUCAUGAUCAUCAAAGCCAUUAUCACCAUCACCAUGGUUAUGAAGGCAAUAGGCAUUCGACUCCUGCACCAGCUCUUAACAAAUUUUCCUUUGCAUACACACAUAUACGUUGCUCCACCUCCAUCUGGGUGUCCAAAUGGCAACAAGCCAAAGAACAAGGUGUAGCCAAUGAUCACUGACCUACUUAUCCCACCGCUUCGCUGCCUCAUCCAUUAUCACCUUCUGUUCUUUAUCCUCCACGUGAUCCCAACAUGCACAGUAGAUCUACCGUUUUGUCCCCUCCGAUUCUUCCGGAGCCGCAUUUGGCCAUGUAGUCAUGCACACUCUCUAAGUGAGCGUGCAACAAGAACCUGUCUAUCUACUGGAAUGUCGCAUAUGGCCCCUGCAUCGCAUUCACCUAAUGCUAGCUAGCCGGAGCCUCUCCUGUCACUGGCUCUUGGUAUCCCUCACAUGUGCCUUGCUUUGGAGCCUACUAUGAUGAUGAGAACCCACGGCUAACAAGACGAUUUGAAAUAGAGAUUUUCCAAGAUAGAGAACAAGGCACCUCUUGGUUUUCUUCCUCUGUUUACUACAGCCGGCCGGGCAGGCGGUGAAGUGCAAUGCAGCGUCCCUCCCUUCGUCAGGCGUGCUUUUGUGUUGUUUGUUAUAUGUACUUGUUAGUGGGAUGUAAAUAUGGAUGGGUAUAAGGCAAGUAAGCAAGGCAAAGAAUGGGCAAGCAGCUGUGCUUGUAGUGGUCAAAGCCACAAUGGUGGCAAGCCGUUCACAUGCAUAUGCUUGGCCAGGUUUGCCAUGUACUGCUGUUGUUCAGAAGAGGAUUGUUCAAAUGUAAAAGCUUUCUUUUUACAUUA